GCGUUGGUGGUUCAGUGGUAGAAUACUCGCCUGCUACGCGGGUGGCCCGGGUUUGAUUCUCGGCCGACGCA
rnacentral:tRNA from 1 species